UACGGGGGGAGCAAGCGUUGUUCGGAUUUACUGGGCGUAAAGGGCGCGUAGGCGGCCAGCACAAGUCGGUUGUGAAAUCUCCGGGCUUAACUCGGAGCGGCCAAGUGAUACUGUUGUGCUAGAGUGCGGAAGGGGCUACUGGAAUUCUCGGUGUAGCGGUGAAAUGCGUAGAUAUCGAGAGGAACACCUGCGGCGAAGGCGGGUAGCUGGGCCGACACUGACGCUGAGGCGCGAAAGCCAGGGGAGCGAACGGG
rnacentral:rRNA from 1 species